rnacentral:lncRNA from 1 species
GCUGAUUAUAUCAGAGUUAAUUGGCACUUUGACCUGCCAGUCUAAUGGUUAAGAUGCUUAUUCUUUACAUAUAAUGGUGGAAAUAUAAACAACUUACCAGAAUCCUGUCGGAAGAAACAGGCAACUCAACAAUGGCCAUGAGUAGAAAUUUGUUACCUACCAUGUCUGGACAGGGGAAGUCUUCUGCAAUAGUGAAAAUCUAAUCUUCAAUUCCCAGGGGAGGAAGGAUUGCUUUCCUUGAAUUUGUGUUGUCUUAUCACUUUUCAAAGUGCCCAUGCUUAUACAGCUCCAGAUCAUAGUCCAGCACCAGGUGAAGUCAGAACAGUAACUCAAGCAGGGGUGGAACCCAAAGGUCUGAGUUUAUGACGGUGAAAGAUCCUUUUAUAUGACCUUUUUCCUUGGAGUUCGGCAAGUAUUCAAGAAGUACUGACAAGUCCUUCAAUGAUCCAUUUGGCCAAGGAAAUUUGAAAAUAUGCAGGUAUUAUGAAAUGGUGAAGUUCUGGAACUUGGGGCAUCCUGUUAAGGUAUUAGCUAGUAUGAGAUUAUCAUACUGAUAU